rnacentral:rRNA from 1 species
AGGGAAUUGAAACAUCUUAGUACCUGGAGGAAGAGAAAGAAACCUCGAUUCCGUCAGUAGCGGUGAGCGAAAGCGGAUGAGCCUAAACCUCUGACUACGUUACAGAUCUGGAUCGCUGUAGCAGAGGUGUUGUAGGACUUACGGGUGCAGUUCAGAAUGCAUCGAGGAGUUACAAAGAUUAGUGGUAGUGGAAUGGUUUUGGAACAGCCAACCAAAGAGGGUGAUAGUCCCGUAGACGAAACUGCUAGUUCUCCUGUAAGUAUCCUGAGUACCACGGGACACGUGUAAUUUUGUGGGAAACCGCGGGGACCACCCCGCAAGGCUAA